rnacentral:rRNA from 1 species
AACGAACGCUGGCGGCGCGCCUAAUACAUGCAAGUCGAGCGAGAAGGUGUAGCAAUACACUUGUAAAGCGGCGAACGGGUGAGGAAUACAUGGGUAACCUACCCUCGAGUGGGGAAUAACUAGCCGAAAGGUUAGCUAAUACCGCAUACGAUUCCAGCACUUCGGUGGUGGAAGGAAAGCACUACCGUGGGUAGUGCGCUCCUGGAUGGGCUCAUGUCCUAUCAGCUGUUGGUGAGGUAAUGGCUCACCAAGGCUUCGACGGUAGCUGGUCUGAGAGGACGAUCAGCCACACUGGCACUGCGACACGGGCCAGACUCCUACGGGAGGCAGCAGUAAGGAAUAUUGGUCAAUGGGCGGAAGCCUGAACCAGCCAUGCCGCGUGCAGGAAGACGGCCCUACGGGUUGUAAACUGCUUUUGCAGGGGAAUAAACCUCAUUACGUGUAAUGAGCUGAAUGUACUCUGAGAAUAAGGAUCGGCUAACUCCGU